GUCGGAGUGGCGGAAUUGGCAUACGCGCUAGGCUUAGGACCUAGUGGAGUAAAAUCCUUGGGAGUUCAAGUCUCCCCUCCGACACCA
rnacentral:tRNA from 1 species